AUCUACGGCUGUACUACCCUGAACAAGCCCUAUCCCGUCUGAUCUCGGAAGCUAAGCAGGCUUGGUUAGUACUUGGAUGGAAGACCACCUAGGAAGACCGGGUGCUGUAGGCA
rnacentral:rRNA from 1 species